rnacentral:misc_RNA from 1 species
AAGUCGUAACAAGGUCUCCGUAGGUGAACCUGCGGAGGGAUCAUUAAUAGUAGCCAGCCCGAUUAGCAAACGGCGAAAGCCCGACGCUUAAUGGGGCUAGUAUAACAUAUGUGUUUAGGGUUAAACUCAUAACCCUAAUAUUUCUUAUUACACAAAGCCUAAUACGCUUUGGCCAAACAAACAAACAAACUUACAGGAACGAAACCAAACAACACACCCCAUUGGAUACCUUGGUUCCCAC